GGGGGCGGGCAUCUGGGCCUCGAGGCGCCGAGGACGUGUGGUGGCAAGGAGUGGGCGCGGGAGAAGGGCGGGCUAAGGGAACGCACCGCGCGGGCCCCAGCGUCCCGGACGGGCGAGGUGCGGCGCCUUUAAGGUCCGCUGGGGGCGUGCUAGCAGCGGCCACGGGCCCUUGGAGAGGUAAGCGCUGGCGCCCCGCGGGUCCUGUGCUCGGAGACGGGACUCGAAGUAGGACCUACGGCGCGCCCGAGUCUCCCACCUCCUCCCCCGAGCGCGGGCCGGCGGGUGGAACGCCCCGCGGACUCUCACUGGGCACCCACCCGGCUGCGGGAGCGCGAGGCGCCGCUACUGUGGCCAUGGGCAGCUUCCAGCUGGAGGACUUCGCGGCGGGCUGGAUCGGAGGUGCAGCCAGCGUCAUUGUCGGUCACCCUCUGGACACGGUCAAGACUCGCCUGCAGGCCGGCGUCAACUACGGGGACACCAUCAGCUGCAUCCGCACGGUGUACAGGAGGGAGAGUGUCUUCGGCUUCUUCAAGGGCAUGUCCUUUCCCCUUGCCAGCAUCGCGGUCUACAACUCUGCGGUGUUUGGGGUCUUCAGUAACACGCAGAGGUUCCUCAGCCAGCACCACUGCAGGGAGCCCGGGGCCAGCCCGUCCGGCACCCUGUCUGACCUUCUCCUGGCCAGCAUGGUGGCUGGCGUGGUCUCUGUGGGGCUGGGCACGCCCGUAGACCUCAUCAAGAUCCGGCUGCAGAUGCAAACACAGCCAUUUCAGGAAGCCAACCUUGGUUUGAGACCCAGGGCGAUGACUCUUGGGAAGCCACCAGUCUACCAGGGGCCUGUGGAUUGCAUUGCAACCAUCGUGCGGACCGAGGGCCUGGCAGGGAUGUACCGGGGUGUUGGCGCCAUGCUACUGAGGGAUGUCCCGGGCUAUUGCCUCUACUUCAUCCCCUAUGUGUUCCUGAAUGACUGGAUCACACCCGAGGCCUGCACGGGCCCCAGCCUCUGUGCUGUGUGGCUGGCAGGCGGCAUGGCAGGAGCAAUUUCUUGGGGGACAGCGACUCCUAUGGAUGUCGUGAAAAGUCGACUCCAAGCUGAUGGGGUUUAUUUAAACAAAUACAAAGGUGUCCUGGAUUGUAUCUCCCAGAGUUACCAGAAGGAAGGUCUUAAAGGCCCAGCACUGUGGGAGAGGAGAUCCACAUUCCAAGCUGGGCCCUGCCUGGCUCAGCCUCACAGAACAGAGUCAAGCCCAGGCCCACAGGGGAGUGUCUGUUGCACCCAGCAUGGAAUUUUCCUCUCGGAGCUCGAGCCAGUUCCUUGCUGUUAUUCAGUCACUGUGGGUGUUUUUCAGAGGCAUCACUGUGAAUGCUGUGCGCGGCUUCCCCAUGAGUGCCGCCAUGUUCCUCGGGUAUGAAUUCUCGCUGCAGGCAAUCCGCGGGGACCACGCCGUGACUAGCCCCUGAGCGCCAGCCAGCGUGCAGUCCUGGAAGAGCUGCCACUGUGUCUCCGCCUCUGUGUCACUGGUGCCUCACGCGGAGCCCGACACCCAGAUGGCCCCUCAGAAACAUCACUGAGAAGACGGGCAAUCAAGUGCCAGCGUCCCCUCACCUCCUCCCCUUCUUUUCCUCCCUGUUUCUCCUUCUCUGGCUCCACACUGGUGUCCUGCAGAGCUGAGAAGAUAAGGUGGAACGAGUCACUGAAUUUUCUAGUCAACAAGAAACCAUUUUGCUUCAGCCUUGGCGACUACGAAUUCUCUCAAGAAGGAUGGCUUUUGUCAGAAAGGUCUCGCAGUCCUCUCUGCUGCCUUCCCUGGGCCAGCAGAGGCCUGCUAGCAUUCGUGGACGGGCCCAGACCCUAGACCCAGGGGAGGGGUGUGAUGGAUCAGGCCGAUGAGACUGAGCCCAGGACAAGGCUUAGAAUGCCGGCUUCAUCAGAUGAUUUAGCUUUUCACUAAAGCACCCACACUCACAGCUCUCCUGGCUUUUGGCUCUCUCUUACAAAAGGAAAAGAGUAGUAACACAUUUUGCAUAAUUAAAUGUCUUGAGUGGGUUUUGUCCAAGGCGAGGAAGAAGAACCGCCUGGUUCUUAAAGCUUUGCUCAGAUAUCAGCUGCUUUCCACCUUGAACAGGUGAAAAUAGCUUUCAAGAAAAAAAAAUCCUAUCAUAAAAUCCGUGCCUCUUUAUUGCAGAAAAAAAUAGAAAAUACAAACAGAACACAAGAAAAUAA